UUGAGAUCCUAGCAUGGGGUAUGAUUAACUUUGAAGUCUGUGUAAGAGUCAGCCCAGGUGUAGCACACACCUAAACAAAGAAGGACUUUCAGGAAAUGAUUAAUACAAGGCCUUUGGAGAAACAGUGGGAGAAAUGGAUGUUGCGAAAGUAAUUCUCUGAAAACUCUCUGAAGAACAUUAGAUUUAGGCAAUGUAGUAAAAAAUUGAUUCAUUGUUCUGCUAGGUCUUUUUUCCCUCUGUGGCAAAAGAAUCGAAAUUCUUACAUGGCAGUUCUAAGUUCAAAAGACAUUUACUUCAGAUGACAGUGGCAUUUUUAUAGCAUGUUAACCAAUGUGUGUGAAAGUUAUCCGUAGUAUGCACUUGAAUUACUAGAGUGAAGUCUAUUAACGCCAAAUGUUUUAGAAAACAAGCUGCUCCAAAUUUCAAUUUCUUAGGGUUUAUUUGUUUCAUAGUGCAACCAGUUUCCCAAUCUCUCCAGACCUUGGCACCAUAUUUUAUGUUAUAGUUUCAGUAACUUGAAAAACUUCCACUUCUGCACAUGCUACUUCCCAGCUUUGGUCUGUCUACUACUUAGGACAGCUGCUUUACACUCAAGCUCCACCCGUCAGCUUCUUUGAGAGCAGCCAGGCAAUAAUGGACAUUUCUGGGGAGGGCAGAGACAAUGUCUGACUUGUUCAGCUGUAUCCUAAACUCUUAGCACAAGAGUCCAGUUCAGAAUAACUGCUUAAUAUAUGUUUAUUAAAUGAAUACACCAAUGUCUGAAAUACUCUGGGAUCCAAAAUUAUCUUUUAUCUUUUCUGAGAAGGACCCGGGAGAGAAGGCAGGCAGGUAUUAUUAGUACAAUAGGGGUGUUGAUUUUUAUUUCUUCCCUUUUUGAUAGGAUUACUGAACAGGCAGACAGAGAAAAUAUUUGGGCAAAGUGUAUUUGACCAAGUCUUUCAUGUACUUAUGGAGAAAUUUAAUCUGGAUCCUAAUACAAUCAGGAAGAUUCACUGCUCAACAACUGUACCCCAAAGGAACCGAGGACUGCAAGAGAUCAACCUGGAGGAGAGCCCUGAGAGCCAGGAUUAUGGACAUUUUGUAUGCAACAAUUUUAAUCUUUAUCAGUAUCUUUAGUUAAACUAGAGAAUGAAGGCUUUCCCAAUCAGACAUAAAAUUCUGUUGGAUCAGAAUCCAAAAGGACUUUGACAGGCUUAUCUGACCCAGACCUCAGAAUCUCCUGGACUAAGAACAACUCAGGCCAUUGUGAUUUAGAAGUAUCCUGGUGCUAGAGAAGACACCAAGAUGGCCAGGAGACAAUGGCAGCAUUAGAAGGCCCUAGUUGAACAGAAUAUAUAAUUUCAUUUAACAGCUGCGGAAGCUCAUUAACUACGCUGGCAUGAAUGAUUCUUUACAACUACAAAAAGAAAGAAAAACAGCAGCCUAUUUACAGAUGCAGGGAGAGCCAUCCCUUGUUUUCUAGCUUUCAAGGGAAACAAAACAUUUCUGCAUAAUAACUUUAUCCUAUAAUUCAACACGAUUUAAAAGUGUAGCUUGCCAUAAGCUUAAAAAGAUAUUUUUGUGCCACAUAUUCAAAACUUCCACAAUAUUCCAGCAGUUUCUGACUGCAUGGCUUCCUGGUUCCCCAUGACCUGCUAAGGGGGCCAAUCAGGCAGCAAUCUGGCCAGCCCAGGCACCUUCCUGGCAUGCACGCUCCCUGCGCUCAAACAUCGCUCUCCCUUGUACUUCCUCACGUCCUCAACUUGAAGAAAGUAUAGCUCAAAUGCUUUCCACAAUCCUUCAUCACUUCUUAUUUUUUAUUUUAGGUUCCUGCCACUUACUAAAUGACCCUGAGCAAAUCACUUUGUCUGUGCUUUAGUUUUUUUAUCUAUAAAAUUAUGAUAGCCCCCGCCUUCAUGGGGCUAUUGUGAGGACUAAACUGUGAGUUAAUACAAAGCAUCUAGAACAAUGCCUGGCAAUAGCACACCCUCAAUAAAUGUCAGCCAGUACUUCGCUAUUAUUACCACUACUUAGGACACGAUGCACCGCUAUUACUAAUGUCACGUGUAUUUCACCAACUCCACCUAAGUAAAAAUUGCUUGAGGGGAGAGUAGAGGUGCAUAUUAGUACCCUUUCAUGCCCUCCUCCUUCUUCCUCCCCUGCUCCUACCUCAGAUACAUACACAAACAGGAGGAAUGUUCCUGAUACUUUCUUGGGCUCAGCUGAAGGUUCACGAUGGCAUGGCAUUGUCUUUAUCCCAUUUGGACAAACUCCCUCAUGGCUGUUUUUCCUCCUAAGAGUAAGUGGUAAGGUAUGCUCUGGGAUGGGUCCCUAUUUUUCUCUUUCAUCAUCUCAGACACUCUCUGUUACUCAAGAGCUCUCAUAAAUAGAACUGCUUGAUAUUAGUGCUCUAGGCUAAAGGAAUGUGAAAUAAAUGAUUCCCCCGUGUA